UAUUUAAUAACUUUGAGAGCUUGGCAAAUCUAAACCAAACAAUAUUUUUCUAUUAUUUAAAAUGGAUAUUGAAGUUGGAGGAAAUCAAAAAGCUGACAAAAGUGUUCGUCUUCUGUAGAGGAAAAAAGGUGUUGUGCGUAUUUGUGCGUUGUUUAAUAUGUGCUUGAAUUCUGUCACGCCACGUUGCUGGACGUGUGGAUGGACAGCGGGCGCCACUCUUCCGCGCUGACUGAAUUUGUAUUUGGUCAAAUAGAUCAAUGUACACUAAGCGACGACAAAAGGAGUGAAAUAAAUAAAAAAAUAAGAAGUUUUGAAAUUUUUGUUACGUCAAACCUGCAAAAGUGCAGUCGGAAUAUGCGA